rnacentral:rRNA from 1 species
UACGUAGGUGACAAGCGUUGUCCGGAUUUACUGGGCGUAAAGAGCGCGCAGGCGGUCGUUCAAGUCGACGUGUGAAAGCCCCCGGCUCAACUGGGGAGGGUCACGCGAUACUGAUCGACUCGAAGGCAGGAGAGGGUAGUGGAAUUCCCGGUGUAGUGGUGAAAUGCGUAGAUAUCGGGAGGAACACCAGUGGCGAAGGCGACUACCUGGCCUGUUCUUGACGCUGAGGCGCGAAAGCUAGGGGAGCAAACGGG